ACAAAGUUCCAUCUAAGGAUGUCUAGGGUCACGAGACACGUGGAAAGCCGGCACGAGAAAGCAGGGAGCUCGGCCUUUGCCCUCCUUCCUGGCACUUCUGUUACCCAUCUUAAAAUGAGUGUAGACAAAGCAGCACAGAUGCGGGGCCAGGGUAAGGGUGCUGCCACGAGGCCCGACAUCGUGAGUUUGAUGUCUGGGAACAAUAUGUGGAAGAGGAGAAUCAACUCCUUCAAAAUGCUCUUUGAUCUCCAUAUGCAUGUUAGGCCUAGGCCGCUGACAAGUAUGUUGGAGAGAUACUGAAUAUUUGUAGUGGAAUCUGACAAUGCUGACAGCUUUGUUACCAGACUGUGGUUCUGAGAGCCAGUUUGGUUGGCAGUUGUGGCCGAGGUGGUGGCAAAACAGCUGCCCACAUCUGGAUCCAGAAGACAGUGACAUGAGAAUUCUGAGUGUUGUUAACUUCCUCACUUUUGCACUGAUGUUCCUUGGUUAGAGUCAUUGUGUCCUUGUGAUACCUCGAGUGCGUUCUGACUUUUGCCUGAAACUCCACUGAUUCUUAUGGUCAGUAGACAUAAGUGCCUAUUACAUAGCCUUGCACAA